UGAACCGCAUGGUUCAAAAGUGAAAGACGGUCUUGCUGUCACUUAUAGAUGGAUCCGCGCUGCAUUAGCUAGUUGGUAAGGUAACGGCUUACCAAGGCAACGAUGCAUAGCCGACCUGAGAGGGUGAUCGGCCACACUGGAACUGAGACACGGUCCAGACUCCUACGGGAGGCAGCAGUAGGGAAUCUUCCGCAAUGGGCGAAAGCCUGACGGAGCAACGCCGCGUGAGUGAUGAAGGUCUUCGGAUCGUAAAACUCUGUUAUUAGGGAAGAACAUAUGUGUAAGUAACUGUGCACAUCUUGACGGUACCUAAUCAGAAAGCCACGGCUAACUACGUGCCAGCAGCCGCGGUAAUACGUAGGUGGCAAGCGUUAUCCGGAAUUAUUGGGCGUAAAGCGCGCGUAGGCGGUUUUUUAAGUCUGAUGUGAAAGCCCACGGCUCAACCGUGGAGGGUCAUUGGAAACUGGAAAACUUGAGUGCAGAAGAGGAAAGUGGAAUUCCAUGUGUAGCGGUGAAAUGCGCAGAGAUAUGGAGGAACACCAGUGGCGAAGGCGACUUUCUGGUCUGUAACUGACGCUGAUGUGCGAAAGCGUGGGGAUCAAACAGGAUUAGAUACCCUGGUAGUCCACGCCGUAAACGAUGAGUGCUAAGUGUUAGGGGGUUUCCGCCCCUUAGUGCUGCAGCUAACGC
rnacentral:rRNA from 1 species